rnacentral:rRNA from 1 species
GGGGGCGGGUCUUACCAUGCAAGUCGAACGGCAGCACAGAAGAGCUUGCUCUUUGGGUGGCGAGUGGCGGACGGGUGAGUAAUGUCUGGGAAACUGCCCGAUGGAGGGGGAUAACUACUGGAAACGGUAGCUAAUACCGCAUAACGUCGCAAGACCAAAGUGGGGGACCUUCGGGCCUCACACCAUCGGAUGUGCCCAGAUGGGAUUAGCUAGUAGGUGGGGUAAUGGCUCACCUAGGCGACGAUCCCUAGCUGGUCUGAGAGGAUGACCAGCCACACUGGAACUGAGACACGGUCCAGACUCCUACGGGAGGCAGCAGUGGGGAAUAUUGCACAAUGGGCGCAAGCCUGAUGCAGCCAUGCCGCGUGUAUGAAGAAGGCCUUCGGGUUGUAAAGUACUUUCAGCGGGGAGGAAGGCGGUGAGGUUAAUAACCUCGCCGAUUGACGUUACCCGCAGAAGAAGCACCGGCUAACUCCGUGCCAGCAGCCGCGGUAAUACGGAGGGUGCAAGCGUUAAUCGGAAUUACUGGGCGUAAAGCGCACGCAGGCGGUCUGUUAAGUCAGAUGUGAAAUCCCCGGGCUUAACCUGGGAACUGCAUUUGAAACUGGCAGGCUUGAGUCUCGUAGAGGGGGGUAGAAUUCCAGGUGUAGCGGUGAAAUGCGUAGAGAUCUGGAGGAAUACCGGUGGCGAAGGCGGCCCCCUGGACGAAGACUGACGCUCAGGUGCGAAAGCGUGGGGAGCAAACAGGAUUAG